rnacentral:tRNA from 1 species
GCUAGCGUAGCUUAAGCAAA